AUUCAAUUUGAAUGAGGAAUGCGGAAUGCCUAUAAAUUGAAAACAUAUCAACUCAAUCCGAUAUAUUGAAAUCAUGGUUAAAGCUUGUCUAAGUUUUUCUCCUUUUCUUGUUGGAUUUCUCUUGGUUUUGUUUGUUGCAGACAUAGGAUACGUCCGUGGUGAAUGUGAUGUGGGGAGACGCAUGCGGGUGGAGGACGGGUGUGAUGGUGUAGAUUGUGAUUCUCUUUGUAUUAGCAACUGCGAUUUUUUAGUCAGUAAAACUGAAUGCCAAUUUGAUGAAGGUUAUAUUUUCUCUGGCCAUUACUGCGCAUGUUGCAGGUAAGGAUAUAAACAGCAACUUGCCGGCUCUGUCAUCAGUUAGGGUUGGCGCGACACCAAUCAUGUAUCUUACUUUCUCCAUCGUUUCUUCGUAGUAAUAAGUUCACUGAUAAAUUAUUGAUCUUUUGUUACAUGUUUGUAACUUUUUUGUAUCGCCGGUCCUUUUAUAAUCAAGCGGGCUUGUGUUACUAGCUAGUGUGGGUGUUUGUUUAAUUUGUAUUGCAAAAUGUUAAUCAUCGAGUAGAUGUAACCGUUCGAUUUACAUCGAUCAUUUGUCUGAUCUUCUCCACCAAAGUCAUUCUCUCUUUUCAUCA